rnacentral:rRNA from 1 species
CUCUACCCAUGCGAGUCAUAUGUUCUUCGGAACAUGGCGUACUGCUCAGUAACACGAGGAUAACCUGCCCUUGGGUCCAGCAUAACCCCGGGAAACUGGGGAUAAUUCCGGAUGACGCACAUAUGCUGGAAUGCUUUAUGCGUCAAAUGGAUUCGUCCGCCCAAGGAUGGGUCUGCGGCCUAUCAGGUAGAAGUGGGUGUAAUAUACCUACUACCCUACGACGGGUACGGGUUGUGAGAACAAGAGCCCGGAGAUGGAUUCUGAGACAUGAAUCCAGGCCCUACGGGGCGCAGCAGGCGCGAAAACUUUACAGUGCGGGAAACCGUGAUAAGGGGACACCGAGUGCCAGCAUCAUAUGCUGGCUGUCCGGGUGUGUAAAAUACACCUGUUAGCAAGGGCCGGGCAAGACCGGUGCCAGCCGCCGCGGUAACACCGGCGGCCCGAGUGGUGAUCGUGAUUAUUGGGUCUAAAGGGUCCGUA